rnacentral:rRNA from 1 species
ACUACGGGAGGCAGCAGUGGGGAAUAUUGCACAAUGGGGGGAACCCUGAUGCAGCGACGCCGCGUGUGGGAAGACGGUCCUCUGGAUUGUAAACCACUGUCCCCAGGGACGAAAAUGACGGUACCAGGGGAUGAAGCUCCGGCUAACUACGUGCCAGCAGCCGCGGUAAUACGUAGGGAGCGAGCGUUGUCCGGAAUUACGUGUUGUAAAGGGAGCGUAGGCGGGGAUGCAAGUUGGGUGUCAAAACUACCGGCUCAACUGGUAGUCGCACUCAAAACUGCAGCUCUUGAGUGAAGUGGAGGCAGGCGGAAUUCCUAGUGUAUCGGUGAAAUGCGUAGAUAUUAGGAGGAACACCAGUGGCGAAGGCGGCCUGCUGGGCUUUUACUGACGCUGAGGCUCGAAAGUGUGGGGAGCAAACAGGAUUAGAUACCCGAGUAGUC